rnacentral:tmRNA from 1 species
GCACUACCCAUGCGGUUCGUUCGGUGGUAUAGUCUUCGUGCUGGUUUUCCAGCUAUGGCGAUACACGGCCUGCGCAAUAAACCUUUCGGACCCGGGGGCGGUACCCGGCGCCUCCACCAUUUACCCGUCCAAUAUGCAUUUUUGCUUUAUUCAUUGGACCUUUUAUGGGGGCGAAAUAGGAUCGACGAGGGCGUAAAGGUAGGAACCGUCGCUCGGUAUGGUACCGUCGUUAUCGGGCCGUUUUGAUAGUUGCAAAUGACAACUACGCGGAAGCAUCACUUGCUGCGUAAGCAGUACGUGACUUCAAUCUAAGUCCAGUUCCGUCGCAGGAACUGGCGGGGUUCGGGCAGCACCUGGCAACAGAAGCUGCCCACU